rnacentral:rRNA from 1 species
GACGAACCGUGCGAACGUUAUUCGGAAUCACUGGGCUUAAAGCGCGUGUAGGCGGCCCGGCACGUCCGUCGCUGAAAUCCCCCGGCUCAACCGGGGAAGGGGCGCGGAUACGACCGGGCUGGAGGGGGGUAGGGGCGCGCGGAACUUCCGGUGGAGCGGUGAAAUGCGUAGAUAUCGGAAGGAACACCGGUGGCGAAAGCGGCGCGCUGGACCCCCACUGACGCUGAUGCGCGAAAGCCAGGGGAGCAAACGGG